GGUUUUGGAUUAUGGGUUUAUCAAUCCAUCUAUGAUGGCUUUGGUGGACACGCAUGAACUAGUAUCUGUUUUUUUUCUUUUCAGGUUUUGGGUGAUGGCUUUGAUGGUCACGCUUCUUCUCUGUGUUACGUCUUCAGUGGUACUGACUCUCGAUGCUACUUCUUUAGGCGCUCUCAAGGUUUCCUUGCUCUAAACGCAUCUCUAUAAUUUGCUUCUGAAUUUUCACUUUGGUUUGAAGGAGGAUUCUACGUUCCAAUCAUCGCUCCAUUAGUUUCUGAAUUUACACUCCUCCUCCUCCUACGGUUUGAUUUUACUUACAUGCUGUUUUUGGAAGCUUAUUAUUUUUGAUCCCAUCAUCCAUCCCCGCUUCUGAAUUUACACUACGUCUCCUCCUACGGGUAUGGUGCGUCUGCAACUAAGUAUGGGCUCCUCUGAUGUGAUGCACAAGGUUUCAAGUGAAAACAUCUCUGUCUCUCUUUG